GAUGAAGAACGCAGCGAAAUGCGAUAAGUAAUGUGAAUUGCAGAAUUCAGUGAAUCAUCGAAUCUUUGAAUGCACCUUGCGCCCUUUGGCUAUUCUGAAGGGCAUGCCUGUUUGAGUAUCGUGAACACCUCAACUCUCAUGGUCUGCCAUGAUGAGCUUGGACUUUGGGGGUCUUGCUGGCCUACUGUCAGCUCCUCUCAAAUGAAUCAGCUUACCAGUGUUUGGUGGCACCACAGGUGUGAUAACUAUCUACGCUUGUGGUUUUCUGCCAGGUAACCUCCAGUGAUGGAGGUUCGCUGGAGCUCACAAAUGUCUCUCCUCAGCGAGGACAGCUUUUUGAACGUUUGAUCUCAAAUCAGGUAGGACUACCCGCUGAACUUAAGCAUAUCAAUAAGCGGAGGA
rnacentral:misc_RNA from 1 species